rnacentral:lncRNA from 1 species
CUAAAUCACUCGCAUAAAUUGGAACUAGUUCCUUUCUUGGGCGACCUCUCCUCUUUGCCAUAUCUAAUUCUGCUAGGUUUACUUACCUUAGCAGCUGCAAUGGAGAAGAAGUAGACGAUGAACAGUGUAGAAGAUGAAGAAAAGUAGAGAGAAGGCGGAGCUUCUCUCUCUAUUUCUUAUUUCUUUUACAUCGAUACUCUUUU